rnacentral:rRNA from 1 species
CCUACGGGUGGCAGCAGUGAGGAAUAUUGGUCAAUGGCCGUGAGGCUGAACCAGCCAAGUCGCGUGCGGGAAGACGGCCCUACGGGUUGUAAACCUCUUUUGUCAGGGAGCAAGGUGCAGGUCUGGACCUGCUGUGUGAGUACCUGAAGAAAAAGCAUCGGCUACCUCCGUGCCAGCAGCCGCGGUCAUACGGAGGAUGCGUGCGUUAUCCGGAUUUAUUGGGUUUAAAGGGUGCGAAGUCGGAGGCACAAGUCAGCGGUAAAAAUUCGGGGCUCAACCCGGUACGGUCGUGGAAACUGGGGGCCUUGAGUGGGCGAGAAGUAGGCGGAAUGCGUGGUGUAGCGGUGAAAUGCAUAGAUAUCACGAAGAACCCCGAUUGCGAAGGCAGCCUUCCGGAGCCCUACUGACGCUGAGGCACGAAAGCGCGGGGAUCGAACAGGAUUAGAUACCCUUGUAGUC